GGCUCCUUGUGCGCCCAGUGCCUCAGCCGUCACAAGGACAUCCCACAUCCUCCCUGUUCCUCCCCUGCAGGCCCCCUGGCUGCUGGACAUGGUGGUGUCCCGAGCGGCACCGGUGGCCUCCCUGGCACUCUCUGGCUGCCUCGUCGUCUUUCCCAAGUGAGUAUGUUGGGGGCUGUAGCUGCUGCUUGCUGCAGCUGCUCAGCUCUCAUGCCGUAGCAUUUGUUCCUUGUGACCAUGGGUGUCCCUGCCCUGCCCACGAGGAUAUGGCAUAGAAUCAUCGCAUCAUUUGAGCUGGAAGGAACCUGGAAAGGGCACCUAGUCCCACUCCCCUGCAGGGAACAGGGACACCUAUCGCCACAUCAGGUUGCUCUCAGCCUGGCCCUGCUGAAGCCUUUAGAAAGCAGUGGCCAUCAUGCAGCAUGAAAAUGGGCCUGUCAGCAGGCAAUCAGAGAGAGCAACAAGGAUUGGUGGAGCGCUGCGUCCCACCGCUCACUGUCGUCUCCUCGCGUACAGGUUUCAAAUGGAGUUUGUACCCAAACCACCACCUGGGAUAUCCCGCAGGUCCUCAGGAGGCAUCCCUGCGGAGGGGAAACCAAAGGAAGAGGAGGCUUUGCCACCUCUCGCCCAGGGCAAGAAAGGUAAAGCAGCAUCCAGCGCCUUUCCAGGGCACAAGCCACCAACUUGAGAUGGGAAAUCCCUUGCUGAACAUCAGCCAAGGGCUCUGACUUACGUCAAAGCUUCACGCCAGCUCAGCACGGCCUCUUCCCACGAGGAAUUGUUGGCCUCUCCAAAACCAAGGCGCUGGCUGUGACGUGCCCCCAUCCCUGGCUAUGGCAGGAGCACCUCGGCACCUUAGGCCCCGCCCUCCCCCAACAAAAGGAUAUGGUCCCCAAAAGUCACCCUGUCAGCUCAUCGUCACCACCCAGCUCCGCUUUCCCAAAGCCAGCGUCACUAAUGCACUCCCAAAAGAGAGUCCCAAGAUGGCAGAGAGGAGAAGUGGGGCCAGAGAUGGUUUCAGGGAGGGUCCGCGGGCGGCACAGAUGUCAGCAGUGGGGGGAGCAGAGCGGCCCUCACUCAUGUUCUGGGAACAGGCCUGAGCGCCCCUGGUGAGUGAGCCAAAGGGUUGACGGUAAGUCUCCUCUGCCUUCCCAAUCCCAGUGAGAUUUGCUGGCAAGCCAACCUACAUCAAACGCUUGAGCUCGGACAGUCUAGAUGGAGGAAAACUCCGAAGGAUAAGGAGCUUACUGCGCAAGGAGAGCUCUACGUCCAGGUGAGGCUGGAGGCUCUGGCUUGGCAUGUGCAUGGGGGUGAUUGACUGAGCCAACGAGAGCCCAUUCCCUAGCCCCAAAGGGUCCCUGUUUCUGGCUGCCCAACAGUGCUGGGAUGGGGACGCCAGGAGCCCCCCAGCUCACAGGGCUGGCCCCUCUCUGGAUCCCACGGGGGAGAGCCACGGGGCAGCUGCUGAGCUGUCUGUGGGGAAGGCUGCGUUGCAGCCAAGGGUCCUGGCUCCGGCUUGCAGGACGCAGCCCCAAAACCAUCACCCACUCAGGCGGACCCCUCCCGCUCUGUCCUUUCAGUCUGCUGCCAGCCAUCCCUGGAGUGCCUGAAGAACAAAAGCAGCCACUGACCUGCCAGCUGCAGGGCCAGGCAGAAACAGACAGCCAAGAAGACCUGGGCCGAGCCC
ensembl:lncRNA